rnacentral:rRNA from 1 species
AUUGAACGCUGGCGGCAGGCUUAACACAUGCAAGUCGAGCGAGUGGCGGACGGGUGAGUAAUGUAUGGGAAUGUGCCCGAUAGAGGGGGAUAACUACUGGAAACGGUGGCUAAUACCGCAUACUAUUGGAUCAACCCAUAUGGGAUUAGCUAGUAGGUGGGGUAAAGGCUCACCAAGGCGACGAUCCGUAGCUGGUUUGAGAGGAUGAUCAGCCACACUGGGACUGAGACACGGCCCAGACUCCUACGGGAGGCAGCAGUGGGGAAUAUUGGACAAUGGGGGAAACCCUGAUGCAGCCAUCCCGCGUGUAUGAAGAAGGCCUUCGGGUUGUAAAGUACUUUUAGCGGGGAGGCGUUACCCGCAGAAUAAGCACCGGCUAACUACGUGCCAGCAGCCGCGGUAAUUC